GAGACAGCAGUCGCCGCGGGAAUACGUAGGUGGCAAGCGUUAUCCGGAAUUAUUGGGCGUAAAGCGCGCGUAGGCGGUUUCUUAAGUCUGAUGUGAAAGCCCACGGCUCAACCGUGGAGGGUCAUUGGAAACUGGGAAACUUGAGUGCAGAAGAGGAAAGUGGAAUUCCAUGUGUAGCGGUGAAAUGCGCAGAGAUAUGGAGGAACACCAGUGGCGAAGGCGACUUUCUGGUCUGUAACUGACGCUGAUGUGCGAAAGCGUGGGGAUCAAACAGGAUUAGAUACCCGCGUAGUCCCUGUCUCUUAUAC
rnacentral:rRNA from 1 species